rnacentral:rRNA from 1 species
AAAGGUAAGCUACUAAGAGCGAAUGGUGGAUGCCUUGACUGGUAAAGGCGAUGAAGGACGUACUAGACUGCGAUAAGCUACGGGGAGCUGUCAAGAAGCUUUGAUCCGUAGAUUUCCGAAUGGGGCAACCCAAUGUAUAGAGAUAUACAUUACCUAUAUAGGAGCGAACGAGGGGAAUUGAAACAUCUUAGUACCCUCAGGAAAAGAAAUCAAUAGAGAUUGCGUCAGUAGCGGCGAGCGAAAGCGCAAGAGGGCAAACCCAGUGCUUGCACUGGGGGUUGUAGGACUGCAAUGUGCAAGAGGUAAGUUUAGCAGAACAUUCUGGAAAGUAUAACCAUAGAGGGUGAUAGUCCCGUAUGCGAAAAACAAACCUUAGCUAGCAGUAUCCUGAGUAGGGCGGGACACGAGGAAUCCUGUCUGAAUCCGGGUCGACCACGAUCCAACCCUAAAUACUAAUACCAGAUCGAUAGUGCACAAGUACCGUGAGGGAAAGGUGAAAAGAACUGAGGUGAUCAGAGUGAAAUAGAACCUGAAACCAUUUGCUUACAAUCAUUCAGAGCCCUAUGUAGGAAUACAGGGUGAUGGACUGCCUUUUGCAUAAUGAGCCUGCGAGUUGUGGUGUCUGGCAAGGUUAAGCAAACGCGAAGCCGUAGCGAAAGCGAGUCUGAAUAGGGCGCUUAGUCAGAUGCUGCAGACCCGAAACGAAGUGAUCUAUCCAUGAGCAAGUUGAAGCUAGUGUAAGAACUAGUGGAGGACUGAACCCAUAGGCGUUGAAAAGCCCCGGGAUGACUUGUGGAUAGGGGUGAAAGGCCAAUCAAACUUCGUGAUAGCUGGUUCUCUCCGAAAUAU